rnacentral:rRNA from 1 species
ACCUGGUUGAUCCUGCCAGUAGUCAUAUGCUUGUCUCAAAGAUUAAGCCAUGCAUGUCUAAGUACACGCUCUAGCAAGGCGAAACCGCGAAUGGCUCAUUAAAUCAGUUAUGGUUCCUUAGAUCGUACACAUUUACUUGGAUAACUGUGGUAAUUCUAGAGCUAAUACAUGCAAUUUAGCCCUCGUCCCUUUUAGGGUGAGGGUGCCUUUAUUAUACUAAGACCAAACGGGGGCAACUCCGAUAGUCGUGGUGACUCUGAAUAACUAUUUUAUUAACUAUUCAGUCCUCGUACUGGCGACGCAUCUUUCAAGUGUCUGCCUUAUCAACUUUCGAUGGUAGGUUGUGCGCCUACCAUGUUUGUUACGGGUAACGGGGAAUCAAGGUUCGAUUCCGGAGAGGGAGCCUGAUAAACGGCUACUACAUCCAAGGAAGGCAGCAGGCGCGAAAAUUAUUCACUCCCGGCACGGGGAGGUAGUGACGAAAAAUAACAAUACGGGACUCAAACGAGGCUCCGUAAUUGGAAUGAGUACACUCUAAACCUUUUAACGAGGAUCUAUUGUAGGGCAAGUCUAGUGCCAGCAGCCGCGGUAACUCUAGCUCCAAUAGCGUAUAUUAAAGUUGUUGCGGUUAAAAAGCUCGUAGUUGGGUCUCAGUCGCGCUCCCUUCGAUGCGUUGCAAAGCGUUUAUCGUUGGGGCCGACAGCACGUUGGUGGGCCCGGUUGGCUUUUACCGGUUGAUCGGGUUCUCCGGCAAUUUUACUUUGAAAAAAUUAGGUUGCUCAAAGCAGGCUGGUGCCUGAAUAUUGGUGCAUGGAAUAAUGGAAUAGGACCUCGGUUCUAUUUUGUUGGUUUCCGGAUCCCGAGGUAAUGAUUGGGAGGGACAGACGGGGGCAUUCGUAUUGCGGCGCUAGAGGUGAAAUUCUUGGACCGCUGCAAGACGAACUACUGCGAAGCAUUUGCCAAGAAUGUUUUCAUUAAUCAAGAACGAAAUUUAGAGGUUCGAAGGCGAUCAGAUACCGCCCUAGUUCUAACCAUAAACGAUGCCAACCAGCGAUCCGCCUGAGUUCCUUAAACGACUCGGCGGGCAGCUUCCGGGAAACCAAAGUUUAAAAAAUAAAUAAAUAAAAUAAAAAACAAGACUGUUUUGAGAUGCUCGCGUAUCAAUUCACGAGUAUGUAAAACUGCUAAAAAUUUAAAAUAUCUAAAACCUACAAUAUUCAUGUUUAUAAAUAUAAUAAAAAUUAAUAUAAGAGAAAAUAAUAUAUAAAAUAUCAAUAUAUAAAAAUAAAUUAAUAUACACAUUUAAAAUAUAAGAAUUGAAAAUCAGUAAUUUGUUAUAUAUAUAUAUAUUUUUUUAUUUAUUGUUACAAAAGCACGAAGUCCAAAGGACUAUUGUGCUGUGCUAGUAUUAUUUACAUAUAUAUGAUUAAUUAUUUACACGAUGGAUUAGUAUUGUUUUGUAAAUUAUUGUACAAAUAGUUCUGAACUUAACAAAGUUCUCAUAAGAUAGAGUAUAUACACAAAGAGAAUUUGGUAAUGUUUCAAAGUAUCUACAUACAAUUUGAUUAGUCAGAGGGCAAGAUAAAAGAAGAUGCUCUGGUGAUUCAACAUCUAAGCGGCAUUCACAUGUUGGAUCAUUGAUAGCAUUCAGUUUGAAUAGGAAACUUAAGAAGGGUCCUUU